GAUCAUGGCUCAGAUUGAACGCUGGCGGCAUGCCUUACACAUGCAAGUCGAACGGCAGCACGGGUGCUUGCACCUGGUGGCGAGUGGCGAACGGGUGAGUAAUAUAUCGGAACGUACCUUAUCGUGGGGGAUAACGCAGCGAAAGCUGCGCUAAUACCGGAUAAGCCCUACGGGGGAAAGAUUUAUCGCCAAAGGAGCGGCCCGCGUCAGAUUGGGUAGUUGGUGGGGUAAAGGCCUACCAAGCCUACGAUCUGUAGCUGGUCUGAGAGGAUGAUCCGCCACACUGGGACUGAGACACGGCCCAGACUCCUACGGGAGGCAGCAGUGGGGAAUUUUGGACAAUGGGCGCAAGCCUGAUCCAGCCAUGCCGCGUGAGUGAAGAAGGCCUUCGGGUUGUAAAGCUCUUUCGGUGGGGAAGAAAUUGCACGGGAUAAUACCCUGUGUAGAUGACGGUACCUGGAGAAGAAGCACCGGCUAACUACGUG
rnacentral:rRNA from 1 species